AUUGAACGCUGGCGGCAUGCCUUACACAUGCAAGUCGAACGGUAACAGGUCUUCGGAUGCUGACGAGUGGCGAACGGGUGAGUAAUACAUCGGAACGUGCCCGAGAGUGGGGGAUAACGAGGCGAAAGCUUUGCUAAUACCGCACACGAUCUCAGGAUGAAAGCAGGGGACCGCAAGGCCUUGCGCUCACGGAGCGGCCGAUGGCAGAUUAGGUAGUUGGUGGGAUAAAAGCUUACCAAGCCGACGAUCUGUAGCUGGUCUGAGAGGACGACCAGCCACACUGGGACCGAGACACGGCCCAGACUCCUACGGGAGGCAGCAGUGGGGAAUUUUGGACAAUGGGCGCAAGCCUGAUCCAGCCAUGCCGCGUGCAGGAUGAAGGCCUUCGGGUUGUAAACUGCUUUUGUACGGAACGAAAAGACUCCUUCUAAUAAAGGGGGUCCAUGACGGUACCGUAAGAAUAAGCACCGGCUAACUACGUGCCAGCCGCCGCAGUAAAAC
rnacentral:rRNA from 1 species